rnacentral:rRNA from 1 species
GCGAAGCGAAGCAGCGAUGUGAAGCAAAUCGCACCAAAGCCGGUCCCAGUUCGGAUAAGAGGCUGAAACUCGCCUCUUUGAAGUCGGAAUCGCUAGUAAUCGCAGAUCAGCAUGUUGCGGUGAAUACGUUUCCUGGUCUUGUACACACCGCCCGUCAAACCAUGAGAGUCGCCAACACCCGAAGUCCGCUUUGCGGCCUAAGGUGGGGGAGAUGAUUGGGGUUAAGUCGUAACAAGGUAUC